GAUGAACGCUGGCGGUAUGCUUAACACAUGCAAGUCGUACGAAGACCUUCGGUCUUAGUGGCGGACGGGUGAGUAACACGUGAGAAUCUGCCCUUAGGAAGAGAAUAACAAUUGGAAACGGUUGCUAAUACUCUAUAUGCCGAGAGGUAAAAGGAUCUAUCCACCUUAGGAAGAGCUCGCGUCUGAUUAGCUAGUUGGUAAGGUAAUGGCUUACCAAGGCGACGAUCAGUAGCUGGUUUGAGAGGACGAC
rnacentral:rRNA from 1 species